rnacentral:rRNA from 1 species
UACAGAGGUCUCAAGCGUUGUUCGGAUUCAUUGGGCGUAAAGGGCGCGUAGGCGGCCGCCUAAGUCAGACGUGAAAUCCCUCGGCUCAACCGGGGAACUGCGUCUGAUACUGGGUGGCUUGAAUCCGGGAGAGGGAUGCGGAAUUCCAGGUGUAGCGGUGAAAUGCGUAGAUAUCUGGAGGAACACCGGUGGCGAAGGCGGCAUCCUGGACCGGCAUUGACGCUGAGGCGCGAAAGCCAGGGGAGCAAACGGG